AUUGAACGCUGGCGGCAGGCCUAACACAUGCAAGUCGGACGGUAGCACAGGGGAGCUUGCUCCUUGGGUGACGAGUGGCGGACGGGUGAGUAAUGUCUGGGAAACUGCCCGGUGGAGGGGGAUAACUACUGGAAACGGUAGCUAAUACCGCAUAACGUCUUCGGACCAAAGUGGGGGAUCUUCGGACCUCACGCCACCGGAUGUGCCCAGAUGGGAUUAGCUAGUAGGUGGGGUAACGGCUCACCUAGGCGACGAUCCCUAGCUGGUCUGAGAGGAUGACCAGCCACACUGGAACUGAGACACGGUCCAGACUCCUACGGGAGGCAGCAGUGGGGAAUAUUGCACAAUGGGCGCAAGCCUGAUGCAGCCAUGCCGCGUGUAUGAAGAAGGCCUUCGGGUUGUAAAGUACUUUCAGCGGGGAGGAAGGCGGUGAGGUUAAUAACCUCGCCGAUUGACGUUACCCGCAGAAGAAGCACCGGCUAACUCCGU
rnacentral:rRNA from 1 species